UACGUAGGGUCCGAGCGUUGUCCGGAAUUAUUGGGCGUAAAGGGCUCGUAGGCGGUUUGUCACGUCGGGAGUGAAAACUCAGGGCUCAACCCUGAGCGUGCUUCCGAUACGGGCAGACUAGAGGUAUGCAGGGGAGAACGGAAUUCCUGGUGUAGCGGUGGAAUGCGCAGAUAUCAGGAGGAACACCGGUGGCGAAGGCGGUUCUCUGGGCAUUACCUGACGCUGAGGCGCGAAAGCGUGGGGAGCAAACGGG
rnacentral:rRNA from 1 species